rnacentral:sRNA from 1 species
UUGACGACAGUCAGCGUGCAGCUGGGCCGCC